CCCUUCUAGACUACAAGCUCCACGAGGGCAAAGAACUUUCCAUCUUCCUCACCAGACCUCCAGAAACUGCCAUGAUGCAUUUUACAUAGAAAACACUCAACUAAUAAGGGUUAAAAAAAGCGUAGCUGGUCAUUCGCCGAUCUUUGCGCCUAUGUCUGGAAGGCAGACUUUUCACUUUUGCACUCAAGAGUUGACAUCUCCAGUUUGAUCAGAGCACACUUUCUCUCAGAUCCUGCAUGAGAUCUCACCACAGAGCUCAC
rnacentral:lncRNA from 12 species